rnacentral:rRNA from 1 species
AUCUAUUAGUCUUGACCAAAUCAUGUGCCAGCCGUCGCGGUAAGACAUGGAAGACAAGCGCUAUUCAUCUUUAAUAGGUUUAAAGGGUACUUAGACAGUUAAUUAAGCCUACCUAAGGGACUGACUAACUAGAGUUUGAUAGAAAAAGGCUAGAACGGUAUGUGGAGAGAUAAAAUAUUUUAAUACAUGCUAAAAUCUGACAACGGCGAAGGCAACCUUUUAUGUAAAAACUGACGUUAAAGGACGAAGGCUAUAAAUAAAGAAUAGGAUUAGAUACCCUAGUAUUCGUAGCAGUAAAUGAUGAGUGUCAUAGGUAAGUGAUAUAGCUUACGUAUAAAUGAAAGUGUAAACAUUCCACCUUAAGAGUAACAUGGCAACAUAGGAACUGAAAUCAUUAGACCGUUUCUGAAACCAGUAGUGAAGUAUGUUAGUUAAAUUGAUGAUCCACAAAGAACCUUACCACAAUUUGAAUGUAAAUUCACAGGAGUUGCACGGCUGUCUUCAGUUGAUAUCGUGAGAUUUUGGUUAGCUCCAUUUAAUCAA